AGGGGGGAAAAGGGAAAUUCCUUUAGUGUAGCGGGGGAAAAGGGGUAGAAUUUUGGAAGGAACCCCCAGGGGGGAAGGGCGGCUUUUUUGGAUUGUAUCUGACCGUUGAGGCUUGAAAAGCGUGGGGAGGGACCAGGAUUAGAUUCCCCCGGUAGUCCACGCCGUAAACGAUGAAUAAUUGGGGUAGGGGUUGUCAUGCCCUCUGUGCCCCCGCAAACGCAUUAAGUAUUCCGCCUGGGGAGUACGUCGCAAAGAUUAAAACUCAAAGGAAUGACGGGGGGCCCGCACAAGUAGCGGAGCAUGUGGUUUAUUUGAAGCAACGCGAAGAACCUUACCUAGACUGACAUUCUCCUGAAUUACCCUUAAUCGGGGAAGUCCCUUCGGGGACAGGAAGACAGGUGGUGCAUGGUUGUCGUCAGCUCGUGUCGUGAGAUGUUGGGUUAAGUCCCGCAACGAGCGCAACCCUUAUUGUUAGUUGCUACCAUUUAGUUGAGCACUCUAGCGAGACUGCCCGGGUUAACCGGGAGGAAGGUGGGGAUGACGUCAAAUCAUCAUGCCCCUUAUGUCUAGGGCUACACACGUGCUACAAUGGCUGGUACAGAGAGAUGCUAAACCGUGAGGUGGAGCUAAACUUUAAAACCAGUCUCAGUUCGGAUUGUAGGCUGAAACUCGCCUACAUGAAGCUGGAGUUGCUAGUAAUCGCGAAUCAGAAUGUCGCGGUGAAUACGUUCCCGGGCCUUGUACACACCGCCCGUCA
rnacentral:rRNA from 1 species